CAGACUCCUACGGGAGGCAGCAGUGAGGAAUAUUGGUCAAUGGGCGCAAGCCUGAACCAGCCAUGCCGCGUGCAGGAUGACUGUUCUAUGAAUUGUAAACUGCUUUUCCUGCGGGAAGAAAUGUACCUACNGUGUAGGUAUUUGCCGGUACUGCAGGAAUAAGCAUCGGCUAACUCCGUGCCAGCAGCCGCGGUAAUACGGAGGAUGCAAGCGUUAUCCGGAUUCAUUGGGUUUAAAGGGUGCGCAGGCGGUGUAUUAAGUCAGUGGUGAAAUGCUGCGGCUCAACCGGUAGACUUGGCCAUUGAUACUGGUACACUUGAAUGUAGUUGAGGUAGGCGGAAUGUGUAAUGUAGCGGUGAAAUGCUUAGAUAUUACACAGAACACCGAUUGCGAAGGCAGCUUACUAAACUAUGAUUGACGCUGAGGCACGAAAGCGUGGGGAGCGAACAGGAUUAGAUACCCUGGUAGUCCACGCUGUAAACUAUGAUCACUGGUUGUUGGCAAUAUACCGUCAGCGACUGAGCGAAAGCAUUAAGUGAUCCACCUGGGGAGUACGUCGGCAACGAUGAAACUCAAAGGAAUUGACGGGGGCCCGCACAAGCGGAGGAACAUGUGGUUUAAUUCGAUGAUACGCGAGGAACCUUACCUGGGCUUAAAUGUAGAGUGCAUAGAGUGGAAACAUUCUUUUCCUUCGGGACUCUUUACAAGGUGCUGCAUGGUUGUCGUCAGCUCGUGCCGUGAGGUGUCGGGUUAAGUCCCAUAACGAGCGCAACCCUUGUCGUUAGUUGCUAGCAGGUCAAGCUGAGGACUCUAACGAGACUGCCGGUGUAAACCGAGAGGAAGGUGGGGAUGACGUCAAAUCAGCACGGCCCUUAUGUCCAGGGCUACACACGUGUUACAAUGGCCAGUACAAGGAGCAGCCACCUGGCAACAGGGCGCUAAUCUCAAAAGCUGGUCACAGUUCGGAUCGGAGUCUGCAACUCGACUUCGUGAAGGUGGAUUCGCUAGUAAUCGCGCAUCAGCCACGGCGCGGUG
rnacentral:rRNA from 1 species